rnacentral:rRNA from 1 species
AUUGAACGCUGGCGGCAUGCCUUACACAUGCAAGUCGAACGGCAGCACGGGAGCAAUCCUGGUGGCGAGUGGCGAACGGGUGAGUAAUAUAUCGGAACGUGCCCGGUCGUGGGGAUAACGUAGCGAAAGCUACGCUAAUACCGCAUACGAUCUACGGAUGAAAGCGGGGGAUCGCAAGACCUCGCGCGAUUGGAGCGGCCGAUAUCAGAUUAGGUAGUUGGUGAGGUAAAGGCUCACCAAGCCAACGAUCUGUAGCUGGUCUGAGAGGACGACCAGCCACACUGGGACUGAGACACGGCCCAGACUCCUACGGGAGGCAGCAGUGGGGAAUUUUGGGACAAUGGGCGCAAGCCUGAUCCAGCAAUGCCGCGUGCAGGAUGAAGGCC